rnacentral:rRNA from 1 species
GACGAACGCUGGCGGCGUGCCUAAUACAUGCAAGUCGAACGCUGAAGGAGGAGCUUGCUUCUCUGGAUGAGUUGCGAACGGGUGAGUAACGCGUAGGUAACCUGCCUGGUAGCGGGGGAUAACUAUUGGAAACGAUAGCUAAUACCGCAUAAUAGUAGAUGUCGCAUGACAUUUGCUUAAAAGGUGCAAUUGCAUCACUACCAGAUGGACCUGCGUUGUAUUAGCUAGUUGGUGAGGUAACGGCUCACCAAGGCAACGAUACAUAGCCGACCUGAGAGGGUGAUCGGCCACACUGGGACUGAGACACGGCCCAGACUCCUACGGGAGGCAGCAGUAGGGAAUCUUCGGCAAUGGACGGAAGUCUGACCGAGCAACGCCGCGUGAGUGAAGAAGGGUGUCGGAUCGUAAAGCUCUGUUGUAAGAGAAGAACGAGUGUGAGAGUGGAAAGUUCACACUGUGACGGUAGCUUACCAGAAAGGGACGGCUAACUACGUG